GAUGAACGCUGGCGGCGUGCCUAAUACAUGCAAGUCGAGCGAACAGACGAGGCGCUUGCUCCUCUGACGUUAGCGGCGGACGGGUGAGUAACACGUGGAUAACCUACCUAUAAGACUGGGAUAACUUCGGGAAACCGGAGCUAAUACCGGAUAAUAUAUUGAACCGCAAGGUUCAAUAGUGAAAGACGGUUUUGCUGUCACUUAUAGAUGGAUCCGCGCCGCAUUAGCUAGUUGGUAAGGUAACGGCUUACCAAGGCAACGAUGCGUAGCCGACCUGAGAGGGUGAUCGGCCACACUGGAACUGAGACACGGUCCAGACUCCUACGGGAGGCAGCAGUAGGGAAUCUUCCGCAAUGGGCGAAAGCCUGACGGAGCAACGCCGCGUGAGUGAUGAAGGUCUUCGGAUCGUAAAACUCUGUUAUUAGGGAAGAACAAAUGUGUAAGUAACUAUGCACGUCUUGACGGUACCUAAUCAGAAAGCCACGGCUAACUACGUG
rnacentral:rRNA from 1 species